UUAAUUAAAGUCCACCCCACACUGAACGAAUUCGUUCCCUAAGUUUUUCCCAAUCCUCGUUCUGCUGAGAGGAAGUGAUGUUCAAUUCGGCCACGACAUCAUCAUCAACUUCCAACUUCUUGUACUGCUCAACCAAGGACUUAGUUCGCUCAAUUCCCUAGGAGGUGUUGUGCUUUUUAGCAGCCAUUCUCGCCUUGCAGUCGUCCAUUUUGACUUGAAGUUCCUUCAUCUGAGCAGCCAAAUUAACCAUCAAAGAGUCUUCAACCAUGACUUCGGAAGAGAUUUCUUUCAACUCGUCCUCAGCCUUGUUGAUCUCCAUACGCAAAGACUCUUUCUCAGAUACGGCUCGAAAAUAUUGA
rnacentral:lncRNA from 1 species